rnacentral:rRNA from 1 species
CUGGCUCAGGACGAACGCUGGCGGCGUGCCUAAUACAUGCAAGUCGAGCGGACAGAAGGGAGCUUGCUCCCGGAUGUUAGCGGCGGACGGGUGAGUAACACGUGGGUAACCUGCCUGUAAGACUGGGAUAACUCCGGGAAACCGGAGCUAAUACCGGAUAGUUCCUUGAACCGCAUGGUUCAAGGAUGAAAGACGGUUUCGGCUGUCACUUACAGAUGGACCCGCGGCGCAUUAGCUAGUUGGUGGGGUAAUGGCUCACCAAGGCGACGAUGCGUAGCCGACCUGAGAGGGUGAUCGGCCACACUGGGACUGAGACACGGCCCAGACUCCUACGGGAGGCAGCAGUAGGGAAUCUUCCGCAAUGGACGAAAGUCUGACGGAGCAACGCCGCGUGAGUGAUGAAGGUUUUCGGAUCGUAAAGCUCUGUUGUUAGGGAAGAACAAGUGCGAGAGUAACUGCUCGCACCUGACGGUAC